GACAGAGGUGCCGAGCGUUAGGCGGAAUCACUGGGCUUAAAGCGUGUGUAGGCGGGCGGGCAAGUACCUUGUGAAAUCCCACGGCUCAACCGUGGAACGGCUGGGUAUACUGCCUGUCUUGAGCCAACUAGGGGCGAGCGGAACAGACGGUGGAGCGGUGAAAUGCGUAGAUAUCGUCUGGAACGCCAAAGGUGAAAAACAGCUCGCUGGGGGUUGUGCUGACGCUGAGACAGAAAGCCAGGGGGAGCAAAACGGGGAUUAGAAAACCCCG
rnacentral:rRNA from 1 species